UACGAAGGGUGCAAACGUUGCUCGGAAUCAUUGGGCGUAAAGCGCACGUAGGCGGCUUCAAAAGUCGGAUGUGAAAUCCCGUGGCUCAACCAUGGACGUGCAUUCGAAACUGCGAAGCUUGAGUAUGGAAGAGGGUCGCGGAAUUCCCGGUGUAGAGGUGAAAUUCGUAGAUAUCGGGAGGAACACCGGUGGCGAAGGCGGCCACCUGGACGGUAACUGACGCUAAGACGCGAAGGCGUGGGGAGCAAACAGG
rnacentral:rRNA from 1 species